GGAGGGCUAGCCCUAAUUGGUAAGGCAGCAGACUUGAAAUCUGCCGACCGCAAGGUCAUGGGGGUUCGAGUCCCUCGCCCUCCG
rnacentral:tRNA from 1 species